GACGAACGCUGGCGGCGUGCCUAACACAUGCAAGUCGAACGGAGAUAUGAUUUCGGUUGUAUCUUAGUGGCGAACGGGUGAGUAACGCGUGAGCAACCUGACUCUUAGAGGGGGAUAACACCCGGAAACGAGUGCUAAUACCGCAUAAGACCACGACAUGGCAUCAUGACGAGGUCAAAGGAGCAAUCCGCUGAGAGAGGGGCUCGCGUCCCAUUAGAUAGAUGGCGGGGUAAUGGCCCACCAUGUCAGCGAUGGGUAGCCGAGCUGAGAGGCUGAUCGGCCACACUGGAACUGAGACACGGUCCAGACUCCUACGGGAGGCAGCAGUGGGGAAUAUUGGGCAAUGGGCGCAAGCCUGACCCAGCAACGCCGCGUGAGGGAAGAAGGCUUUCGGGUUGUAAAGUUCUUUUAUAUGUGAGCAGUGCUUCUUAUAUUAACAGUAUGGGGAGAGAGAUAUUAGCAUAUGAAU
rnacentral:rRNA from 1 species